rnacentral:rRNA from 1 species
AGUGAACGCUGGCGGUAGGCCUAACACAUGCAAGUCGAACGGCAGCACAGUAAGAGCUUGCUCUUACGGGUGGCGAGUGGCGGACGGGUGAGGAAUACAUCGGAAUCUACUUUUUCGUGGGGGAUAACGUAGGGAAACUUACGCUAAUACCGCAUACGACCUACGGGUGAAAGCAGGGGAUCUUCGGACCUUGCGCGAUUGAAUGAGCCGAUGUCGGAUUAGCUAGUUGGCGGGGUAGAGGCCCACCAAGGCGACGAUCCGUAGCUGGUCUGAGAGGAUGAUCCGCCACACUGGAACUGAGACACGGUCCAGACUCCUACGGGAGGCAGCAGUGGGGAAUAUUGGACAAUGGGCGCAAGCCUGAUCCAGCCAUACCGCGUGGGUGAAGAAGGCCUUCGGGUUGUAAAGCCCUUUUGUUGGGAAAGAAAAGCAGCAGGUUAAUACCCCGCUGUUCUGACGGUACCCAAAGAAUAAGCACCGGCUAACUUCGUG